ACCUGGCGGUCUUGUGUGGCCGUCCAGGGGUGUUGCGUUCCGGUGCGUCCUUGCCGCCCGAGUUGCUCACCGCCUAAGUCAUUGCUUGAAAGCAGCCCCGAGGAGGGUGAUAGGCCCGUGUGGCGGCGCCUGUAAAAAGGGUGAAGGUGGCUUGGGCGGGCGGACGUCCACCGUAGAGUCGGGUUGCUUAGUACUGCAGCCCUAAGCAGGUGGUAAACUCCAUCUAAGGCUAAAUACUACCACGAGUCCGAUAGAGAACAAGUACCGUGAGGGAAAGCUGAAAAGGACUUUGAAGAGAGAGUUCAAGAGGACGUGAAACCGUUAGAAGCCUAAACGGGUGGAACCGCGAAGGUUGAACGAGGGGAUUCAGGUCGCCGGUGGCCGGAGUGCGGAGGGCGGGUCAGACAUGUUUUGAGGACGUGACCCGGCGCGAGAGUGCGGCCGGGCCCCGCCGCCUCCUCCGGGCCAUCCGGCGGGCUUACUUCUCCCUCGGGAAGUCGCCGCGACCCGUUCCUGGGAGCCCCAGGGCCGCAUCGCAUUGGUAGGCCGGGC
rnacentral:rRNA from 1 species